rnacentral:snRNA from 1 species
GGAUGUAAGUGUGAUCUGUCUGUAACAUCUGGCACCCUGUUCCUCGCCAGGGUUGAUUUGGCUGAUCCGGCUGGCUAGGCGGGUGUCCCUCCCUCACUGCUCCAUGUGUGUCCCUCCCAAAGAGGACAACCUUCCCCAGUAGAGACAUAACUGUUCCUCAGUCAAGGGUAUACAGUAGCUGCACUCCCCGGCUAGAACCUCCAAACAAACUCAAGGUCCAUUUGUAGGAGAACGUAGGGUAGUCAAGCUUCCAAGACUGCAGACCCACCCAGGUGAGGCACUACAUGGGGCAGGCUGCCAUUGUUU